rnacentral:rRNA from 1 species
AGGGUUUGAUCCUGGCUCAGAACGAACGCUGGCGGCGUGGCUAAGACAUGCAAGUCGAACGAGCUAGGCAAUUGAGCAAUCGAACGCCUAGUUAGUGGCGAAAGGGUUAGUAAUGGCUAGGUAACGUACCCUGUACUUCGGGAUAGCGUCUGAGUGCUUGCACUCUUCCGAAAGGGGCAUUAAUACCGAAUGAUAUCCCCCGUCGAUGGGCGGGUGAUCAAAGAUUUAUCGGUGCAGGAGCGGCCUAGUUCCUAUCAGCUAGUUGGUGAGGUAACGGCCCACCAAGGCGAUGACGGGUAGCGGGACUGAGAGGUUGGCCCGCAACAUCGGGACUGAGACACUGCCCGGACCUCCACGGAGGGCUGCAGUAACGAAUAUUGGGCAAUGAGCGAAAGCUUGACCCAGCGACGCCGCGUGUAGGAGGAAGUCCUUCGGGAUGUAAACUACUGUCAGGGGGAAGAAAGUCCGUUUCGGCGGAUUGAUCUAACCCAGAGGAAGUCACGGCUAACUUCGUGCCAGCAGCCGCGGUAAGACGAAGGUGGCAAGCGUUGUUCGGAAUCACUGGGCUUAAAGCGUGUGUAGGCGGAAGCGUAAGCGUUUUGUGAAAUCCCUCGGCUUAACCGAGGAAUUGCUUGACGAACUGCGCUUCUUGAGGCAGGUAGGGGUGCGAGGAACUCUUGGUGGAGCGGUGGAAUGCGUAGAUAUCAAGAGGAACGCCGGUGGAGAAGUCGUUGCACUGGGCCUGUCCUGACGCUGAGACACGAAAGCGUGGGGAGCGAACGGGAUUAGAUACCCCGGUAGUCCACGCCGUAAACGAUGCCUACUAGGUUGUGGCGGUUCUGACGCCGGCACAGCCGAAGCCAAAGUGUUAAGUAGGCCGCCUGGGGAGUACGGUCGCAAGGCUAAAACUCAAAGGAAUUGACGGGGGCUCACACAAGCGGUGGAGCAUGUGGAUUAAUUCGAAGCAACGCGCAGAACCUUACCUGGGUUUGACAUGCUUGGAUGCCCGCCUGGAAACAGGUUGGGCUGCCUUCGGGUGAAACUUGCACAGGUGCUGCAUGGCUGUCGUCAGCUCGUGUCGUGAGAUGUCGGGUUAAGUCCU